UACGUAGGGGGCAAGCGUUGUCCGGAAUUAUUGGGCGUAAAGAGCGUGUAGGCGGUCCGGUAAGUCGGCUGUGAAAGUCCAGGGCUCAACCCUGGGAUGCCGGUCGAUACUGCCGGACUAGAGUUCGGAAGAGGCGAGUGGAAUUCCCCGGUGUAGCGGUGAAAUGCGCAGAUAUCGGGGAGGAACACCUAUGGCGAAGGCAGCUCGCUGGGACGUUACUGACGCUGAGACGCGAAAGCGUGGGGGGAGCAAACAGG
rnacentral:rRNA from 1 species